AAAAAAGCCAAAAUUUUUAGUAAACCUAAACUUAUAGCAAGCAUCCCUGGUCAUUUUGGGGUCUUCAUGUCAGUAGGUCAGCAAACAGAGAAAGGACCCUGAUUCUAAGAGACAGAGUUUCCUCUAAUAAUGGUGUCAGGGUAGAGUAUGUCUGGAACUCAGGGGAUUCAGUAGGGCAUCUCUCGCUGCUUCCAUAUUUGGUAAAAACUUCAAAUGGGUAAUUGAAGCAUCUAUGACCUGACAAAGGCCUGGAAACUAGGGGCACAGACAUGAUAAUCUGGGCUUCCUCAUCAGGUGAGUAACCAAGACUUGUAGAAAUGCUGGCUGAGAGAGAAAGGAUAAAGGAGAGGUAAGUGGGGAGGGACUGACUGUAACAACAUGGCCUGAGAUUUAACCCACUAAACCUUCUGGGUCUUUUUUUUUAUAUUUUUGUUUUUGUUUUAGAACUUGUGAUGAGCUAUCAGUUUGAACAAGCAGGUGCAAGGGGUGGACUGAACAGAACAUCUUCAACAUAGAGUCACCCUUAGAAUCCUCGAAAGUGGGUUCCAUCCCUGGAAAGCAGAAGAUUCAAGAAGUAUUGGAAAUUGGGACUUAUGUUCCAAAAUUCAAAGAAUUAACAAUUAUUCUGGAGUCUUCAAAAGCGUUGUAAAUGAAUGUACCCUGAUAAACUUGAGUAACAUCAAAUAUUGCAUAUUGCUCAUCCCAGCAAAAAACAGCAACAAAAAAGAGUGCUUUAUGGUGGCCCUGUUUAGGGAGCACCCACAUUCGCAAGUGUCUUCAGUCUAAUGUGUCUGAGGGGCAGGGGGAGAUACCAUUGGCGG
rnacentral:lncRNA from 1 species